rnacentral:rRNA from 1 species
UACGGGGGGAGCAAGCGUUGUUCGGAUUUACUGGGCGUAAAGGGCGCGCAGGCGGCGCAUUUUGUCAGGCGUGAAAGCUCCGGGCUUAACCUGGGAACUGCGUUUGAUACGGAUGGGCUAGAGUUCGGGAGAGGAGAGUGGAAUUCCCAGUGUAGAGGUGAAAUUCGUAGAUAUUGGGAAGAACACCUGAGGCGAAGGCGGGUUGCUGGGCCGACACUGACGCUGAGGCGCGAAAGCCAGGGGAGCGAACGGG